GUUUAUGCUUGCAUGAACGGGGCGAAGGUAAUUAAAUUACCUUCGCUCUGUUAAUUGUCUUUGUUGUUGUGCGAGAACGAAAAAAAGAAAACAAAACAGAGGAAACGGAGAAGGGCAUCGAACAUACCUGGUUUUGAGAAGACGAAGACGAUGGUGGUGCUGUAUUCUCUGCUUCACCGGGUCCUCUGCUUCCGUUCGCCUCUCUUCUCUCUCCCUUUUUCUCCUCUCGUCUUCCUCUGGCUUUUAUAAGCCAAAGAAUGGCCUGUGGUGCAACGUCCAACUUGGUAACGGCAUGUAGAGGAAUAGUAGCCGUGAAACAUUCCCCAUAACUGAAGCAAUCUGCUAUUUUUGUUGCUGAAAUGGCUCCAUUGAUAGCGCUCAUUCACUGUCGAAACCGUUGCGGAUGAAGAAGGUGAUCAACAGUUGUCAAGGAAAUGACGUCGUUUGCUAAUUCAAAAUGCAUAUUUCUGAAUUGGUCCUUGAAUGUUUUUGUAAUUUUGUAAUCAAACCCCUCGGAAAAAUUGUAAUUAGACCCCUUAAUUUUAACACCUUUUCUGAUUUAGUCCUUGGUUUUGGAUU